UCGAGAAUCUUCGGCAAUGGGCGCAAGCCUGACCGAGCGACGCCGCGUGGAGGACGAAGGCCUUCGGGUUGUAAACUCCUGUCGAGGGGGAAGAAGGGUCGCAAGACCUUGACUGAUCCCUGGAGGAAGCACGGGCUAAGUUCGUGCCAGCAGCCGCGGUAAGACGAACCGUGCGAACGUUAUUCGGAAUCACUGGGCUUAAAGCGCGUGUAGGCGGAUGAGCACGUCUGUCGCUGAAAUCCCCCGGCUCAACCGGGGAACGGGCGUGGAUACGGCUUGUCUGGAGGGGCGUAGGGGGACCUGGAACUUCCGGUGGAGCGGUGAAAUGCGUUGAGAUCGGAAGGAACGCCCGUGGCGAAAGCGAGGUCCUGGACGCCUACUGACGCUGAGACGCGAAAGCCAGGGGAGCGAACG
rnacentral:rRNA from 1 species